CCCUUCCAGGUGAAAACAGACAUGUCAGAAAAUGAUAACAUGUCAGAAAAGCUUCACUCCUCUGUUAUGCAUCAGGUAUUCUAGUUGAGGUAUUUUAAAGCCUAUUUCAUCUGCACACUGUAUGAGGCUUCUAUUUUCUUCAAUGCUUACCAGAUGAGAAAGCUGGAGUUCUUAGAGUUUCCGUCGCCCACUCAAGGUGACAGUGUGUGGUUAAAACAACACCUUGUAUUUGGAUUAUCAGACUCCACAGUUUGCACUGUUAUUGUGAACACCACUUUCCACUGUGAAAAUAUUUAGAGAAAUGUGAAAUGGGUUGAUGUACAUGUGUGUCUAUUUAGGCAGCAGUAAGAAAACAGUUCCUACAAUGUAUCAUUAUUAAAUUGCAAAUUGUCGUUCAAUUAGGAAGAGAAUAAAUUAAUUGGAGUUCCUCAUUUUCUCGAAAAAUCAAGAUGAGAAGGUAAAAUUAUGUUGUCUAAUUUUUUCCAAGCAGAUUUGUGAAGGAGCAUUGGCUUGUCUAGGCUGAUCCUGUUGCUGGCGCUGAAAUGUUUUACAUCUCCUGCUUUGAAAUUUUUUUUGCAUUGAUGUAUUUGUCAUUUUCUACAGACAUAAAUUUUGUCAUUUAAUAAUCAACCUUGUUUUUAUUUUUAGAAUGACUCCCACCACUUGUCAGCAGACUUGGCUCUCAGUAAACAGUUGAUGUCUAUGAAAAUCUAACUGUCCUGUUAAAGAGGGUGAUUUCUGCAUUUGGCAUUUGAGAGAAUAUGAAGGAGGCUCAAGUUAUUAAAUAAUACAUGAAGACAAUGGCUCAUGAAAUAUAGACAGUUCUGAGGUGUGUGUACCAGUGACAUAGAAGCAUGGAGUGAGCCAUGGGAGAGUCUUCUCACUGAUUUGGGGCAGAUAAAAGGACAGUGCUGAAUAAUUUACAUCUUUGCUGCCUUUUGUACUUCGUCAAGUAAACUGCAUCUCUUGACCCUUCCAAACUGGAUGAGGAAAAGUCAGUGCAGCUGGUAGCGCCCCUCCUCACACUCCCAACCAACCCCAGCUGUAGAUGAAAGAACAUGAAACCUAGUGACUCAAAGUAGACUUCAUGAUCUGAUGGCCGUCACUAUCUACCCAGUAUGAAGAGUGUCCAGCUGCCCCGGGCAGUGCCAAGCCUCAAGAACGUGGACACCCAAAGGCAACAACAGCGAUCAGAACUUUUUUUCUUGGAUGAAAAGAUAGAAAGUCUUGAAGAAAAGACAUGUUUAAAACUCCUGAUUGUGCAGAUGUAAUUUGGGGGGCUCUGUAAGGGUUUGUAUAUUGACGGUGAACUCUGAGCUGUGUAAAAUGUCAAAGUGCUCACCCUCUCCCACAGGAGAACAAUUCCAACAAAGGGAAUAUACAAAGCUUCAGAGUGUUGGUGAAGCACGAGGUACCAACACUCCUCCAUGAAGGAACAAGGAAGUCAGCUUUGGUCAGCCAGUGGGAAGCAAGGAAAAACAGCAAGGGAAAUGUCCCUAUGUUCCUGUUGUCAAUGAUCCUCCUUAGGCUGUCAACAAUCCUCAGGACUGCUGUGAUUUUAAAGCCUUCUUGCAUUUCUUUAAACUUGAGUUGCUUCUAUCUCACGCUGCUUUGGAAAACUUUUUUUUUCCUGCUUUCAAAAUACUGUUUUGAUCUUUCUCCUCUGGCCUGGCCCAGUGAUAGCCACAGUCUUUAACUUUCCUCUGUGGAAAUGGAUUGGAGCAGUGUGUUUAUUUAUUUUAUUUUGUAAGAUGCCAAUUUUUCAAAUGGUGUAAUUCAACAAAACCCCAUCUCCUUUCUUUAGAUAUGUAUUUCUACAUCUGGUAAUUCAAGCUGAACCAGUGUCUCCUGAUAGGAUGCUGCUUGACUCACGUCCAGGCUGAAGUACUUAAAAAAUGCCAGGCACUACAACAAUUUUAAAUCUCUCUCUACACUGCACAUGGCUAUUUAAAAUAAUUGAAGCUCUUCAAAUUUUUAUAUGCGUUCAAAUUUGGAAGUCAUUGGUUCUGAGCAUGUGCAGGACACAAUGAUUUAAGGUUAUUAGAGUCUCCUCAAUUUAUGCUGAGCGUUUCAGCUUGAGUCUGACAGGGGAACCUGAGCUGAAGCAUUUACAACUGAUUUAACAUAGUCAUUACACUCAGAUGUUGUGCAGGUGAUCAGAAUUAUGGACACUUGUUUACUUUUUGAGAAAAGCACUGUAAAAAUGACACUUUUUUUUUUUUAGGCUCAAACACUUAAAUUAACCACUUAAAGAGCACCAUAAUCCAAUUUACUUUCACUGUCAUAGUUCCCUCUGAUGACCUGAUUAUAAUCACAACUGUAAAGCCAAAAAUGAGCAUUUGGCUUGGUAAAGAGCUGUUGUCUUCUAGAGCAAGCAUGGAGAAAUAAGUCUUCAGUAAAACACCUGAUGUACUCUGUUGAUGUCCCAGAGUCUAGAGAAGAUGUAGGUUUUGCUCUGAAUACUGAGAUUUUUGAACUAUUGCAUUUCACACACAGUUUAAUGUUUAAUUUCAAUGUCUUAAAUAAAGAACUUUUAUUAAAUAUGAUUUCA